GACGAACGCUGGCGGCGUGCUUAACACAUGCAAGUCGAACGGAAAGGCCCUGCUUUUGUGGGGUGCUCGAGUGGCGAACGGGUGAGUAACACGUGAGUAACCUGCCCUUGACUUUGGGAUAACUUCAGGAAACUGGGGCUAAUACCGGAUAGGAGCUCCUGCUGCAUGGUUGGGGUUGGAAAGUUUCGGCGGUUGGGGAUGGACUCGCGGCUUAUCAGCUUGUUGGUGGGGUAGUGGCUUACCAAGGCUUUGACGGGUAGCCGGCCUGAGAGGGUGACCGGCCACAUUGGGACUGAGAUACGGCCCAGACUCCUACGGGAGGCAGCAGUGGGGAAUAUUGCACAAUGGGCGGAAGCCUGAUGCAGCAACGCCGCGUGCGGGAUGACGGCCUUCGGGUUGUAAACCGCUUUCGCCUGUGACGAAGCGUGAGUGACGGUAAUGGGUAAAGAAGCACCGGCUAACUACGUG
rnacentral:rRNA from 1 species